GUAGGGUGCAAGCGUUAAUCGGAAUUACUGGGCGUAAAGCGUGCGCAGGCGGUCCGCUAAGACAGAUGUGAAAUCCCCGGGGCUUAACCUGGGAACUGCAUUUGUGACUGGCGGGCUAGAGUAUGGCAGAGGGGGGUAGAAUUCCACGUGUAGCAGUGAAAUGCGUAGAGAUGUGGAGGAAUACCGAUGGCGAAGGCAGCCCCCUGGGCCAAUACUGACGCUCAUGCACGAAAGCGUGGGGAGCAAACAGGAUUAGAUACCCUGGUAGUCCACGCCCUAAACGAUGUCAACUAGUUGUCGGGUCUUCAUUGACUUGGUAACGUAGCUAACGCGUGAAGUUGACCGCCUGGGGAGUACGGUCGCAAGAUUA
rnacentral:rRNA from 1 species